CUGAAGAUGAGGUAAUACCUUGAAAUUAGUAUCGAAGCAAAUAAUAAAACGCAAGAAAAAACUAACGAAAUAAAAAAAUAACCAUGAAAGAAUAAGCUUUACAACUCAUAUUAAUAAGAAUAGUUGGAUCAUAUUAAGUUAUAUUUUUGGGAGGGAAUAAUGUGUUAGGAUAAAAACUCUUCGUAGUCUUUCGAUGAAUUGUUUUAAUAAAACCAAGAUAGACGAUGCCACCGAGCAUGACGCCCAGGUAUUUUUAAGAGAACAGUGAGAUUUUAACCUUAUUCGUGCAUUAGUAAUAAAUGUCCAUUCAAACGACAGCAGAACA